rnacentral:rRNA from 1 species
UACGUAGGGUGCAAGCGUUAAUCGGAAUUACUGGGCGUAAAGCGUGCGCAGGCGGUUUUGUAAGUCUGACGUGAAAUCCCCGGGCUCAACCUGGGAAUUGCGUUGGAGACUGCAAGGCUAGAAUCUGGCAGAGGGGGGUAGAAUUCCACGUGUAGCAGUGAAAUGCGUAGAGAUGUGGAGGAACACCGAUGGCGAAGGCAGCCCCCUGG